rnacentral:rRNA from 1 species
UACGAAGGGUGCAAGCGUUACUCGGAAUUACUGGGCGUAAAGCGUGCGUAGGCGGUUUGUUAAGUCUGUUGUGAAAGCCCCGGGCUUAACCUGGGAAUGGCAAUGGAUACUGGCAGGCUAGAGUGCGGUAGAGGGUAGUGGAAUUCCCGGUGUAGCGGUGAAAUGCGUAGAGAUCGGGAGGAACACCAGUGGCGAAGGCGGCUACCUGGACCAGCACUGACACUGAGGCACGAAAGCGUGGGGAGCAAACAGG